GACUCAGCUGACCUACACUAGAGUUGAUGAGGGUAGUUUGGGGUCAGAGAUCCUUGAAUGGGCUGUUUAUAUGAACAUUAAAUAAGAUCCGUACGGCGAUGGAUCUGCUAUGUGGGGACGAGAGGAUGAGAUUCCUUCCCUAGCAUGCAAUUCCUUCCCUCUUUAUGAAUCCUUCUGAACAUGUAUCCUUGCUGCUUUCUUUCUUCUGAGGCCUUGUUUGUUUUUAUAUUUUUAACGAAGGAUUCCUUUGUUUUUCCUUUGUUGUUUUCUUUUUUACUCUUAGAAUGACCAAGGAAUCAAGGAAUGUAACUAGUAUUCAGAGAGA
rnacentral:sRNA from 2 species